ensembl:lncRNA
CCGCCCCGCCCAAACCUGCCUCUCUGCCCACUGUGUCUGUUUCUCUCCCCAAGCUGUGGUCUGGACCAGCCAGUGACACAUAAUUCCAAAUCCUGCCCACAGUCUUCUGUGACUUUGGAGGAAAGGCCAGAGUGUUUUCCUAGGGGAGCCCCGUGUUUUCACAUUUUAAAGCAGGUACUGGUGGAGCGAUGAAUGGUGAAAGCUCUCUCUUUAAAAGACCGAGGGUGGCUUUAGGUGACUGCUAAUUUGGGCUUUUGCGGAGGAUGAUGUUUACUUCACAGACUAAUGACAGGGCUGGCUUUCUGGGAGUGUUGCAAUGAAAAAGAUUCAGACUCCACGGAACUCCUCCCUAGCAAGGCUGCUCCAGCCAGCAUUACGAGGGCAGUUCCACUGAGCUCAGGAUUUGGGUGUGAGACACAGCUUUCGUCAGAAGAUUUUUAACCAAAUGUGUGUGUGGUUUUGUCCUCUGGAUAAAUGUGUGGGUUCAGUAGCAGCCGUAUCUCCUCGCCACAUUCUCUUAGCUGGUUAUGCGACUGUGAGAAGAAAAGCAAGAACAAAACAAAAAACAUAGUUGUGACUCUAUAUUAGUUAAAAAUACACCUAUGGAAUUUGAAGGCACCACAGAAGUCAUCUGCAAAUGGGAAAAACUGAAGCCCAGAGAAGGAGAGUGCCCUGUCCAAAGUCACACAGCAAUGCUUUGUAGCAAAGGAGUGGGAACGUGGAGGAGGAUGGGAGAAGCGAGCUGACUGUUACUGAGUGCCUUUAAGUGUCAGGCAUUGAGCCCACAGCUGCUUCCCGUGUGCAUCAUUAUCGAGGAUCCAAGGAACCAAGACAGAUGAACGAACACAGUGCAAAGAACCCGAGCUGUAGCUCCAGCAGAUCUGAGUUUGAAUCUUGGCUCCAACACUCAUUCGUUGUGUGGCCUUAGCAAGGAUUUGACCUCCUCAGCCUCGUUUUCUCAAGUUAUAGAGGGGGCCCCAACCUUGUGGAUCAAAGGCAAAGAAAGGUGGGCUUCUGGAGGCCUGGCACAAGUACAUGUGGCAUUUCUGACAGUGACUGUUUCUGGGUCUCUGGUUCCUGCCAGAUAGACCUGCUACUAUUCCGGCUUUUGGUGGGUGACCCUGGCCCCUGGGCUCAGGUAAUUCUGCUUCUCCUUCUCCUUGUGCACCCAGCCCUUGAAGGGGUGAGCAUUACUUCCGGCUGCUUGGGGUUGCCUCAUCAUCACCUGGUAGAUUUCCCAACUCCGCAGUCACUCGUGUAACCAAUUCUCUGUAUUAAAUCUCCCUUGUUGUAAGUAUUCAGAGUGGUUUCUCCUUUCUAGGUUGGACUCUGACUAAUAUACCAGCUUAGUUAGUGACUGUACUUUAGAGAGUAAGGUCACUGAUGUUUAUCUUGGAGGAGGUGGUGUAUUUCUUUUUGUAUUUUUCCAGUUAAUUAUGGGGCAAGGUUGUGUGUGUAUGAACAAACCAGCUGGAUACAUUUGUGUGGUCUGCCAGACCACAUUGUUGCUCAGUUUGAGCUCUGAGGGCUCCCUGUGCAAGUUCUGCAUAGGCAACAUGCCCUCUGGACUUCAGAGACUCUGCAUGACCCCUGCCUGCAGCCCCAGCCCUAGUGAGAAGACAGGAGUCGGGUCUCAGCCCCUGAGUUCCUGUUGGAAAAGUAGCAUAAAGAAGGAUGUUGGGGAAGCCAGGAACUGGUGAAAGGAGAGACUGAGAGGCAUGAAGAAGGAAGGAAAGGAAGGGGAAAGAGAGAAUGGAACAGGUGUAUCCGUGUGUAGCACAGUGUCUCUACAUAGAAGGGCUCAAUGGGUAUCUGCUGAAUGAAUGAAAGACUAGAGGAAGUAGACGGAACAAGUAGAGAGUGUGGGUAGUACUGGCAAAGACCGAGCGGACCUUUGUCUCCAUUCCUGCUGCUGUCACCCUGCUUCAGGGCUUCCAAACAGGUCACCUAUGACAACAGCCUCCUAACUGGUUUCCUGGCCUCCAGUCUUCCUGACCACUGCUUCAGUAGUCUUUUCCAAAAUCACAAUCUCAGUUGCUUGAGCCUAAAUGUGUUAGUGGCUCCUGGAUGAGUAGUGAUUAAAUUCUGUCGUGUACUUGUGAGCCUCAUCUUCUACUUUACUACCCUACUUUCCACCUGGACUCUUCACAGUGUUCCCCACUCCUGGAACGUGUAGGGGGAUGGACAUGUCCUUACCCUCAGACCUGCUCCCUAAACCUGCUUCCUCGGUUUUUAUCUUUGUCUGUUUGAGGCCUGGGACGCUACCGUGACUUGGGACAGGGUUGGGGAACAGAAAGUUGGGUAACUAAACUCACAUCUGGCCCUUGACCCCACCUCCUGCUCUCCCUCUCCCCAUAAUUCCUUUCGGCUCUUGAAGAGCCUGGGACGGUGGUCCCACUGCAGCAGCCUGGAGGUCACUCAGAGGUUCUCACACGCCGGGCUCCUGAGAGAGAAUGGGUGGGGAGCCAGGCUGUUAGUGCCAAAAGGGCCAGCUCCCCAAGCAGGCUUUCUUCCUGCUCAGAGAGGUCUCACCGUGACUGCUGCCAAGCUGUGUAUGCCAGAGCAGAAGUACAGACUGGCUCUGUGUGAGUGAGAAGACAAAUGAGCAUGUCAAAUGUGCUUCCCCAUAGCCUGGCAGGGUAGGCUGGGACUGCAUGGGAAGCCAGGCUGGGACUGGAAGAUUUUUGCUGACUUUGCUGGAAGAGCUGGAAGACACCUACUUCAACCACGCCACUCGAAUUCAAUCCAAUUAACAUUUGCAGAUUCCUGUGACACGACAUGGUGGUUUUGAUUUGCACAGACCUGGGUGUGAAUCUUUGCUCUGUUGCUUACCUGCUAUGCAGGCAAAUUACUUAAUCUCUCAUUUUCCUCAUCUGUAAAAUGGACUAAUAAAUACUCUCCUUAUAGAGUACCAAGUAUUUUGC